UAGGGAAUCUUCGGCAAUGGGGGGAACCCUGACCGAGCAACGCCGCGUGAGUGAAGAAGGUUUUCGGAUCGUAAAGCUCUGUUGUUAAGGAAGAACGAGUGUGAGAAUGGAAAGUUCAUGCUGUGACGGUACUUAACCAGAAAGGGACGGCUAACUACGUGCCAGCAGCCGCGGUAAUACGUAGGUCCCGAGCGUUGUCCGGAUUUAUUGGGCGUAAAGCGAGCGCAGGCGGUUAGAAAAGUCUGAAGUGAAAGGCAGUGGCUCAACCAUUGUAGGCUUUGGAAACUGUUUAACUUGAGUGCAGAAGGGGAGAGUGGAAUUCCAUGUGUAGCGGUGAAAUGCGUAGAUAUAUGGAGGAACACCAGUGGCGAAGGCGACUCUCUGGUCUGUAACUGACGCUGAGGUUCGAAAGCGUGGGUAGCAAACAGG
rnacentral:rRNA from 1 species